rnacentral:lncRNA from 1 species
CUGGUAGUGGGCCGUUCUGGGCCACGUGGAGUUUGUUACAGAGAGUGGAGUGGUGUCCGUUGUCGCAACUUGCUGGGGAGUUUGGAUCAGAUGGUUGAAGCUCGGUUGGGAUGUCUGGUGGAGCGAAAUCGCUCUCUAUCUCAACAAUCUAAGAGAAGCUCGGAUGUUUUCGAGGUUGCUGACAGGUUAAUUAUUGUUGGGUGCCUUAGGCAUUGAUGCCGCA